rnacentral:rRNA from 1 species
UACGGGGGGGGCAAGCGUUGUUCGGAUUUACUGGGCGUAAAGGGCGCGUAGGCGGCAGAUCAAGUCAGCUGUGAAAUCUCCGAGCUUAACUCGGAACUGUCAGCUGAUACUGUUUUGCUAGAGUGCGGAAGGGGCAAUCGGAAUUCUUGGUGUAGCGGUGAAAUGCGUAGAUAUCAAGAGGAACACCUGAGGUGAAGACGGGUUGCUGGGCCGACACUGACGCUGAGUGCGCGAAAGCCAGGGGAGCAAACGGG